GAUGUCCAAUGUCCGGAUUUCAAUAGCAGUUGGCAGUCAUGUUACUUUCAUAUUUGGGAUUACUCCUGAUUGGUCAAAGAAUAUUUGAAUCGUUGCGUACAUUCACGGAAACGUUACAUCUAAUACAUUUAUUUUAUUGCAUCGUGAACAUUCUCGGAUCGCAGAUUUUUCAAGAUUUUUAAUCGCAGAAUUUUCGGUCAUUAUAUUGCUGAGCUAAUUAUAAACAAUACGUUGCUGUUAUUGAGGAAGGAAAUCAGCAAGGAAAAAAAACAUAAAUAAACGCAGUCAUUUAUCUAACAUACCGAACCAAAAGUGGAAUUUUUCACAAUGAUAUUGUGCAGAAAAGAAAAGUUUUGAAAGAUUACGACUGGAAGGCUGCAAAUAGAAUAAAUUGGAUUGUGGUUAACCGACAAAGUUGGCGAAAUUGGCUUCGAUGUUCAAGAAUAUAUCUAAAUUUCCUGAUGAGUUGUGACGGAUAAAAUUUGCCCGUCCA